rnacentral:rRNA from 1 species
GACGAAGGAUGCAAGCGUUAUCCGGAUUCAUUGGGCUUAAAGGGAGCGUAGGUGGCCUUAUAAGUCAGUGGUGAAAUCUCUGGGCUUAACCCAGAAAUUGCCAUUGAUACUGUAGGGCUUGAGUAUAGUUGCCGUUGGCGGAAUAUGACAUGUAGUGGUGAAAUACAUAGAGAUGUCAUAGAACACCGAUUGCGGAGGCAGCUGACGAAACUAUAACUGACACUGAGGCUCGAAAGUGCGGGGAUCAAACAGG